CCCUGGUUGGCUCAGUUGGUAGAACGCUCCACCUGUAAUCGAGAGGUUCCGGGUUCACUACCCGGACCAGGCG
rnacentral:tRNA from 2 species